rnacentral:lncRNA from 1 species
UUCUUCUCUCAUCAUAACCACAAAAUCAAACACAUUUCUCUCUUUCUUUCUCUCUCUCUAGAUAACCAGUUUUCCAAAUCUAAGAUCAUUCAUAAUCAACCAUCAAAAUUCUUCUUCUUAUCAAAAUCAUUCAUAAUCAACCACCAAAACUCUAGAUCUACAAGCGUAACAACCCGGUGACGGUGUAGUUCAAGAUCCGGUUUCUUGGCGAACGAAAUAUCCAUCGAUCCACCACAAAUCAUCACCAAAACCACUGGUUUUCUUGGCGGAUUUAGUGCUUUGAGUGGUCAAAUAGAUUUGUAAGGUGGGCUCGGGUAGUUCCUCGACAAGGGUUUCAAGAUCCGAUGGUGGUUUCAAUAUCCGGCGGUGGUCAACAAAUCCGAUGUUGAAGAUGAUGUUUCAGAUGACGGUUCGAUGUUGAAGAUGAUCUAAAGAUGUUUUAUGUUGAACAUGAUGUUCCAGAUCUAAAAGAUCCUCCAGAUCCAUAAGUAUGUUUGUGUUUUCAGGGUUUUUUUUUCAGAUUUGCAUUUUUUUUUUGUUUUUUGUAGAUCUUCAUUUUUUGUGUUUUGUAGAUCUGCAGCUUUUUUUAUUUUUUUGUUCAAGAAGAUGAAUGUUUUUUGUUCUUGUUUUCUGGAUAUGUUAUCUGAACAAAUGGAAACAAUUUGAUUUAAGUUCUUAUGCAUUGGAUUCAAAUAUAAGUUAUUUUCUUGUUUAUUGUUAUGAUGAUUGAAUCUAAAAAACCUGUUGUUGUUGGAUUCUUGUUAAUAAAGUUAUAUUUU